AAAUUGAAGAGUUUGAUCAUGGCUCAGAUUGAACGCUGGCGGCAGGCCUAACACAUGCAAGUCGAACGGUAACAGGAAACAGCUUGCUGUUUCGCUGACGAGUGGCGGACGGGUGAGUAAUGUCUGGGAAACUGCCUGAUGGAGGGGGAUAACUACUGGAAACGGUAGCUAAUACCGCAUAAUGUCGCAAGACUAAAGAGGGGGACCUUCGGGCCUCUU
rnacentral:rRNA from 1 species